UACGGGGGGUGCGAGCGUUGUCCGGAAUUACUGGGCGUAAAGGGCGCGUAGGCGGUGUGUCAAGUCAGGCGUGAAAGCCCCGGGCUCAACCUGGGAACAGCGCUUGAGACUGGCACGCUCGAGUUCGGGAGAGGAUGGUGGAAUUCCCAGUGUAGAGGUGAAAUUCGUAGAUAUUGGGAAGAACACCGAUGGCGAAGGCAGCCAUCUGGACCGACACUGACGCUGAGGCGCGAAAGCGUGGGGAGCAAACAGG
rnacentral:rRNA from 1 species